UUGAGUUUUGUUUCACAAAAAGCAUAAACCGUACAACUCAUUGCAAAACAAAAAAAUAAUAAUAAUAAUAAUUACAUCCAAAGGUUUAGUUUCAUCAUUAUUGAAAGAUUCUACAGUUUCUGGUAUCUUUGAAUUUCUAAUUAUUGCAAAAUCUUCAAUUUAAAUGUAUUUUAACAAUCAUAAAUAUGAUAGAAUCACAUUUAAUAUUUAAACAUCGUGAUAGACACACGUUCACAGAAGGCACAGGUUCGCAGAAGAGUAUUAUUCUUUGCAAUAAAAAAAAAAAAAAAAAAAAACAUAAGAAAAUUUCUGUUAGGCAGGCAAAAAGGAAAAAAAUCUGUCAUAGAAAAGUGGCAUUUUUUUGCAAAGGAAAGAAGAAGCCAAUUUAUUAGAUAUUGGGUAUAUACAAUAACUUUUUGUCUUCAAUGCACCUGUGAUGUGUUUGCUUAGAUAAUCUAAUAAUAAAAGAAUUUGUAAGAAGAAUCCUCCUGGUCUUUGUAUCCACUAGAUCAAAAUUUCAAUAAAAUUUGAGAUUUAUGCUCCACAUAAAUUACAUGAUUAAAAAAAUUAGCUUUUGUUAAUUGAAAAAUAAAUAAUUUAACAGUUUGUGUUUAUCUCAUCACAAUUGCACAUACCUUGCACUGACUUGGUUCAUCAUUUAGAAGCAAUUGAGUGGAAAGUGGAUUCUCAUCAUCAAAUUCCGAGUUAAUUGUUGAUGGAAUGCAUGUAACAAUCUGAUAGUGAAAUCUCGGGCGCACAACAAAAAUUUUCCCUCAAUCUUACUGAGAGGUGGAGAAAUUAUGAAAAUGGGACAUGAAUGAAUAUCCUCAAAAUCCAAUGCAUUGAAAUUCCAAUGUAAAAUUAUAAGAAUUGAAAAGGUUGGAGGGGAAGAUAGAUGUAUCUAUUGAGUGGAUCUUCAUUCAUUAUAGCAGAUGGUGGGAGUAUUACAAUGGAGAUUGGAGAAGAAGAAGGCUUUUUGGAGUAGAUUCUGAAGGAAGGAAGGAGGAAAAGUGACUUUGAGAAAGAAGAGCAGAAGAGACGUCCUUUUUUUUUUUUUUUAAUCGAUAUUUAAAGUGUGGUAAAAUACGAAUCUGGCCCUGUUAUAAAGGUAUUUUUG
rnacentral:lncRNA from 1 species